CUACUGUCGCCACGCCUUGGUGAACGGGAAACCGGUGUGAUGCCGGUGCGGCCCUCGCCACUGUGAAUCGGGAAGUCCGGCUCCGGCCUCGGGGCCCGUCGUCACAUGCCCGUCGUCCGCCCGAAGGGCGGGCGGGAAUGUGACGACAGGCCCCAGCGGGCAGCCACUGGAUCGCUUGCGGUCCGGGAAGGCGGAGCACGGGCGGUGGUACCCGUAAGCCAGGAGACCGGCCAAGGCGCGUCGUCCAUC
rnacentral:ncRNA from 1 species